rnacentral:misc_RNA from 1 species
AGUCGUAACAAGGUCUCCGUUGGUGAACCAGCGGAGGGAUCAUUACAGAGUUUUCACAACUCCCAACCCUUGCGAACCGUACCCAAUCUCGUUCUCGUUGCUUCUGGCGGGGGGCCCUACGAACCUUUGUAUCUCAACCACUAGAAAACCGUCUGAGGAAAAAACAAAAUAAUCAAAACUUUCAACAACGGAUCUCUUGGCUCUGGCAUCGAUGAAGAACGCAGCGAAAUGCGAUACGUAAUGUGAAUUGCAGAAUUCAGCGAACCAUCGAAUCUUUGAACGCACAUUGCGCCCGCCAGCAUUCUGGCGGGCAUGCCUGUCCGAGCGUCAUUUCCCCCCCUCACGCGCCCCGUUGCGCGCUGGUGUUGGGGCGCCCUCCGCCUGGCGGGGGGCCCCCGAAAGCGAGUGGCGGGCCCUGUGGAUGGCUCCGAGCGCAGUACCGAACGCAUGUUCUCCCCUCGCUCCGGACGCCCCCCAGGCGCCCUGCCGUGAAAACGCGCAUGACGCGCAGCUCUUUUUACAAGGUUGACCUCGGAUCAG